rnacentral:rRNA from 1 species
GACGAACGCUGGCGGCGUGCUUAACACAUGCAAGUCGAACGGAAAGGCCCUGCUUUUGUGGGGUGCUCGAGUGGCGAACGGGUGAGUAACACGUGAGUAACCUGCCCUUGACUUUGGGAUAACUUCAGGAAACUGGGGCUAAUACCGGAUAGGAGCUCCUGCUGCAUGGUGGGGGUUGGAAAGUUUCGGCGGUUGGGGAUGGACUCGCGGCUUAUCAGCUUGUUGGUGGGGUAGUGGCUUACCAAGGCUUUGACGGGUAGCCGGCCUGGGAGGGUGACCGGCCACAUUGGGACUGAGGUACGGACCAGACUCCUACGUGAGGCAGCAGUGGGGAAUAUUGCACAAUGGGCGGAAGCCUGAUGCAGCAACGCCGCGUGCGUGAUGACGGCCUUCGGGUUGUAAACCGCUUUCGCCUGUGACGAAGCGUGAGUGACGGUAAUGGGUAAAGAAGCACCGGCUAACUACGUG